AACGAACGAUGGCGUCAGGCUUAACACAUGCAAGUCGAACGCUCCGCAAGGGGAGUGGCAGACGGGUGAGUAACGCGUGGGAAUCUACCCAGUUCUACGGAACAACUGAGGGACCCUUCAGCUAAUACAGUAUACGCCAUAUGGGAAAAAGAUUUAUCGGAAUUGGAUGAUCCUGCGUAAGAUUAGCUAGUUGGUGGGGUAAUGGCCUACCAAUGCGACGAUCUUUAGCUGGUAUUAGAAGAUGAUCAGCCACAUUGGGACUGGGACACGGCCCAAACACCUACGGGAGGCAGCAGUGUGGAAUAUUGGACAAAGGGCGCAAGCCUGAUCCAGCCAUGCAGCGUGAGUGAUGAAGGCCUUAUGUUUGUAAAGCUCUUUCACCGCAGAAGAUAAUGACGGUAUCCGGAGAAGAAUCCCCGGCUAACUUCGUGCCAGCCGCCGCCGUAACAC
rnacentral:rRNA from 1 species